CCUACGGGUGACAGCAGUGAGGAAUAUUGGUCAUUGGACGAGAGUCUGAACCAGCCAAGUCGCGUGAGGGAUGAAGGUUCUAUGGAUCGUAAACCUCUUUUAUAAGGGAAUAAAGUGCGGGACGUGUCCCGUUUUGUAUGUACCUUAUGAAUAAGGAUCGGCUAACUCCGUGCCAGCAGCCGCGGUAAUACGGAGGAUCCGAGCGUUAUCCGGAUUUAUUUGGUUUAAAGGGUGCGUAGGCGGCCUUUUAAGUCAGCGGUGAAAGUCGGUGGCUCAACCAUAGAAUGGCCGUUGAAACUGGGAGGCUUGAGUAUGUGUGAGGUAGGCGGAAUGCGUGGUGUAGCGGUGAAAUGCAUAGAUAUCACGCAGAACCCCGAUUGCGAAGGCAGCAUGCCAAGCCAUGACUGACGCUGAUGCACGAAAGCGUGGGGAUCAAACAGGAUUAGAUACCCCUGUAGUC
rnacentral:rRNA from 1 species